CCUACGGGGGGCUGCAGUGGGGAAUAUUGCGCAAUGGGGGAAACCCUGACGCAGCGACGCCGCGUGAGCGAAGAAGGCCUUCGGGUUGUAAAGCUCUGUUGUAAGGGACGAAAGAAUAAGGGAGUAACUGCCCUUAAAGUGACGGUACCUUACCAGCAAGCCCCGGCUAACUACGUGCCAGCAGCCGCGGUAAGACGUAGGGGGCGAGCGUUGUCCGGAAUUACUGGGCGUAAAGAGCACGUAGGCGGGUGUUUAAGUCAGGUGUGAAAGACCGCAGCCUAACUGCGGGGUUGCACUUGAAACUGAAUAUCUUGAGGGCAGGAGAGGUCAGUGGAAUUCCUGGUGUAGCGGUGAAAUGCGUAGAAAUCAGGAGGAACACCAGUGGCGAAGGCGACUGACUGGACUGACCCUGACGCUGAGGUGCGAAAGCGUGGGUAGCAAACAGGAUUAGAUACCCCUGUAGUC
rnacentral:rRNA from 1 species